AGGACGAACGCUGGCGGCGUGCUUAACACAUGCAAGUCGAACGAGGUCCAUCCAGUGGAAACACUGGAGAAGACCGAGUGGCGAACGGGUGAGUAACACGUGAGCAACCUGCCCCGAAGACCGGGAUAACAGCGGGAAACCGCCGCUAAUACCGGAUGUCCCCACCGGGCCGCAUGACCUGGUGAGGAAAUGGAUUCCGCUUCGGGAGGGACUCGCGGCCUAUCAGCUUGUUGGUGGGGUAACGGCCUACCAAGGCAACGACGGGUAGCUGGUCUGAGAGGACGAUCAGCCACACUGGGACUGAGACACGGCCCAGACUCCUACGGGAGGCAGCAGUGGGGAAUCUUGCGCAAUGGGCGAAAGCCUGACGCAGCAACGCCGCGUGAGGGACGAAGGUCUUCGGGUUGUAAACCUCUUUCAGCAGGGACGAUUGUGACGGUACCUGCAGAAAAGCCCGGCCAACUACGUGCCAGCAGCCGCGGUAA
rnacentral:rRNA from 1 species